AUCAGGCCGGUAACGACCAUCAACCCGUCCUCCGCUCCCAACAGGAGGUUUCUUGUCUGACCAGGGCGCUCGGCAUCCUUUAAGAUAAAUCCUUUGCUGCUACCGGCCUCUCAGCAUCCUGCAAACUGGAACAAAACCAGCGAGGUUAAUAUUUAAUUAGCCAUAUUCUUUUCCUUUGGAUUGCAGCAACCUUGCACGGCGUUUGACGCUAAGAGCAGAUCGCAGCAACCCCGGGAUUUAUAUUUAUUUUCACGAGGUUUGCGGAGGCAGGAGGAGCGCACGGGGCUGCGUCGGUCUCGGCGUGAGACGGGAGAAGGUGAAGCCACGAGAGGCUUCGUCGUGGCCGCCCGCCGAAAAAAUGCAAAUCCUCUCCCCGCCGCAUCCCGCUCGGCACAAAGGCCGCACCAAGGGAUGCCGUGUUCAUCAUGGAAUGGACCACUUUGUCCAGAGGAAGGACAACAAAAUUCCCUAGGAAGUCACUCCUCUCCUCUGGGAAGAUAGAUAAACCUGUGGUGUACAAGUAGGGACUGGAAUAUUCCCCAUAUCCCGCUACAUCUGGGCUCAUCAGAAAAGUAAAGAUAUCCUCUGUUCAGAAGGGAAAAAAGACAUCCUCAGGAAUAAUUCAGUACAGGAAGCUGGCAGAGCUACAGCCCUCUAUCACCUCACAGAAUUUGCAGUUAUGUGUAAAGCUAAACCUUAGGAAAAGAGCAAUUUCAGUCUUCCUGGCUAGCCUGAAAGUAACCAUGCUGCCCUGCGCAACGCAGUUACUGACAGAGCAGCUGCAUGGGUAGAAACGCAUUUUUACAGAGUUAUUGGAGCUGGGAAUUGUGCUAGGAUUACUGGGUUCUUCCCCCAGCUCUGCCUUUGAUUUGUGGUGUGUGCAGACCCCUUAAUUUGUUUCUGUUUUCCCCAUCUGUGGGAUUGAGAUAAGAUCACAAGGGAAUUGUAGAGUGUGAUUCAUUAAUGUUUAUUAGACAGAGGGAAAUCCUUAAAUGAAUGGCACUGUAUUCCAGGAGGACAAAGUUCAAGACUGCAAAGAGGUUGAUUAAAACCAAAUCUGCUAUUCCCAGGCUAGGAGGACAAAAAAAGAAAAUUGAAAAACCUUACCUACCCCUAUGUCUGCCAAAAGCAGUAUAUGAUUUAAAUAAAAUCAAGCAGAAUGCG